UACGAAGGGGGCUAGCGUUGUUCGGAAUUACUGGGCGUAAAGCGCACGUAGGCGGAGUUGUUAAGUCGGGGGUGAAAUCCUGAGGCUCAACCUCAGAACUGCCUUCGAUACUGGCAAUCUCGAGUCCGGAAGAGGUUGGUGGAACAGCUAGUGUAGAGGUGAAAUUCGUAGAUAUUAGCUAGAACACCAGUGGCGAAGGCGGCCAACUGGUCCGGUACUGACGCUGAGGUGGCGAAAGCAGUGGGAGACAACAGGAUCAAGAACCC
rnacentral:rRNA from 1 species